ACAAGAAGCUAGCUAGCAGAGCGUGUUAUUGAGAGCGAUUGACGUGACUGUCAAAUCUUCAGUAUAGCGUGUUUGAUAAUACAUGACGACAGGCUCGGUUAGACAAAAGAGGUCGACAUCCUGCAUCUGGAGAUGGAGGCGCACGUUUAGGAGAGGCUGCCUGUGAUCUCACACUCCGACGCCGCUGUUUGUCACCACAGACAGCGACUUUUCUUAGCCAACCGGAGUAAGCUAGGUUAGCUUUAGUUCGCUAACUAGCAACGGCAGAACAGGGGGUCACUGACUCUUUAAAUAUAAGGGUUAACCUCCUUUAUAACGUAACGUCGCUGUCUGCCCUAAUACCAAAGGAGAAUUGGGAGAAGACAGGGCAGUGUUGUGUUGCUGGAGGAAGAUGUAAAUGAAGAGUGGUUAGAGUGAUGCCCUGAGAGGACACUUUGAAGUGGACCACCGUUGCUGCUGGACGUGGACUCAGAGCCAAAGUACACUUGGUUGCCUUGGAAACAGCCUCGGGGCCCGUCAACGAUUCAGUUUCCACAGAGUUCAGCCCUUGAUCUUCACGCCCCGUGGCCCCGUCUCGAUGAGGAAGUGUCUCACCAGCUGUUCCAGAGGGUCCCCUGGGAGAGGAGAGAGGAGGGUGAAAAGGGAGGAGGGGGAGAGGAUCAAAA